rnacentral:rRNA from 1 species
AAGUCGUAACAAGGUCUCCGUUGGUGAACCAGCGGAGGGAUCAUUACAAGAGUUGCAAAACUCCCUAAAACCCACUGUAAACAUACCUAUUUUGGCUACUUCGGCAGGCGGCCCCAGGGCGGGGCCAUAGCCUUUUUAGGCGCCUGCCAAAGCCUAUAAAACUCUUACUGUUACUAUAUUCUGAACAUAAAGACAAAUAAGUUAAAAUUUUCAAUUGUGGAUCUCUUGGUUCUGGCAUCGAUGAAGAACGCAGCGAAAUGCGAUAAGUAAUGUGAAUUGCAGAAUUCAGCGAAUCAUCGAAUCUUUGAACGCACAUUGCGCCCAUUAGUACUCUAGUGGGCAUGCCUGUUCGAGCGUCAUUUCAACCCUCAAGCCAUCAGGCUUGGUGUUGGGGCUUUCUACAGUAUGUAGGCCCUGAAAGCCAGCGGCGGGCUCGCUGGACUCCGAGCGUAGUAAAUCAUAGAAAUAUACUUUCCUCGCUUAGGGUGUCUAGUGGGUAGCACUUGCCGUAAAACCCCCCAUUUUAUAGAAGGUUGACCUCGGAUCAGGUAGGAAUACCCGCUGAACUUAAGCAUAUCAAUAAGCGGAGGAAAAGAAACCAACAGGGAUUGCCCUAGUAACGGCGAGUGAAGCGGCAACAGCUCAAAUUUGAAAUCUGGCCUCGGCCCGAGUUGUAAUUUGUAGAGGAUGCUUUUGGUGCAGUGCCUUCUGAGUUCCCUGGAACGGGACGCCAGAGAGGGUGAGAGCCCCGUAUAGUUGGACACUAAACCUCUGUAAAGCACCUUCGACGAGUCGAGUAGUUUGGGAAUGCUGCUCAAAAUGGGAGGUAAAUUUCUUCUAAAGCUAAAUACCGGCCAGAGACCGAUAGCGCACAAGUAGAGUGAUCGAAAGAUGAAAAGCACUUUGAAAAGAGGGUUAAAAAGUACGUGAAACAAUUGAAAAGGAAGCACUUAUGACCAGACUUGUGCCUUGCAAAUCAUCCAGCGUUCUCGCUGGUGCACUUUGUUUGGUUCAGGCCAGCAUCGGUUUUUCUAGGGGGAUAAAAGCUCUGGGAACGUGGCUCCUUCGGGAGUGUUAUAGCCCUCUGCAAAAUAUCCUUGGGAGGACCGAGGUUCGCGCUUCUGCAAGGAUGCUGGCGUAAUGGUCAUUAGUGGCCCGUCUUGAAACACGGACC